rnacentral:lncRNA from 1 species
CAUCAUAGCAAAAAUAAGAGGUGGCAUAAUACUUAUUCCAAAAAUAGACAAAGCAUGACUAAAAAAUACAAAAAAAAAUUGUUCAGUGCAUGUUUUAACUAAGCAUGACUAAAAAAUUUACCAGAAUUUUGUGAUGGAAUUGAAUGAUAAGAUGUUGACGCUUCGGCGAUGUUGACACAGCUGCAUGCGCUAUGUGGUUCUUCAUGAGCAUUGAGCAAUCUAGACCAAUUGCAAAUCCUGAAGU